AUCCUUUUGUACACUAGUUCAUAAGCAUGAUGAUUAAGUAUUCACACUUUUGUGUAAAAUAUGCCUCCCUGAAAUCUUGUUAUGACAUCAGCACAUUACCUGUCUGAUA